CAGGGUCCUCAAACAUGGCCAGGUAGGUAAGCUCACCCAGGCUCUGCCUUUGAACUGGCCAGGGGUGUAGAUCUGGAGCCCUGGUUCCUUUCCUGUGUGGAGAUACUUCGACUUCACUCAAGUGGCCCAGCAACUUAAUUUACCUCCCUCACUCUAGACUAGCAGAAAUUAACAUCCUAGGCCAUGUGUGAUAGAUAUUAGCUACUAUGUAUUCCCAUGACCAGCGUAAUUAGAAUGAUAAUAGUAUCCCAAGUCAGAUUAACAAGCCAGGAGCAGCCCAUGAUAAACAGCUCAGCAGGUUCAGGAACUUGCUGUGCAAAUGUGUUGCCAGGUUUGAACGGUAGAAUCCAUGUCAAAGAGUAGACCUCGUGCUGCUUGAGUACUUUAUAGGCUGCCACAAUGUGAUGUUUGUGUGAGUCUCACAGAUACCACUCUUGUUGCUGAUCCUUGAAGUCAAACAUUAGUGUUUUAUGAGCUCUUCUAUCAUCUCCUUAUUUUGUUGUCCCAGCCGCCAUGGGCACAGCCUUAGUUUACUGACACGUAUUUCCAUUGUGACACUACUGUUCAAAAGUAACAUCUUCUGAAAGAUGAUUUGAAUUAACAUUAAAUGUACUCCACCUAGUUAUCCCAACAUGUGGAAAGCAUUAGCAAAAGGAAAACAUCCUAAUCUGAGCCCAAGGAGGCCUCAAAUCUGUGUUGAGGGAAUCCUCUUCCCAGUGGGAGGAUGAUGCACACGUCACAGCACCUGACUAAGCCUGCGAUUAAAUAACAAAUAGUUGGAGAACUCAAUAUAGAUACAGAUUAUGUUAGGGUAAGAUAAAGAAUCAACAGCAACAUUAGAAAGUACACUUUAGUUUACUGAAAAUGAAGGGACAAUAUACAAACUAUAAGACAGCUAAAAUCUUACCUAGAGGGAAAAUGAUGGGCUUGCGGGACUUCAGAAAGAACAAGCGUCUUGGACCAGUAAACCCAAUAGAACAUACACAGGAAGAUGGAAAUAAGCAGCACAAGUCUCUGAAACAGAAAACUAGAGACUAGCAAUGAAACCAAAAGUUGGUUUAUAAAAGAUCAAUAACCUGGGCUGGAGAGAUGGCUCAGCAGUUAAGAGCACUGACUGCUUUUCCAGAGGUUUUGAAUUCAAUUCCCAGCACCCACAUGGUGGCUCAAACCAUCUGUAACGGGAUCCAAUGCCCUCUUCUGGUGUGUCUGAAGACAGCUAUAGUGUAUUCAACAUGUUUUUCAAAAAAUCAGUAGCCUGUGCGCGCGCGCGCACACACACACACCUGUAAUCCCAGCACUUGGGAGGGUGCAGAGUACCAGAGCAACCCCACGCUCUGUAAAUCCUAUUAAAAGUAUGCAUUUGUUUUAGUG
rnacentral:lncRNA from 1 species